CUGGUGAGUAACGCGUGAGGAACCUGCCUUUCGGAGGGGGACAACAGUUGGAAACGACUGCUAAUACCGCAUGACGUAUCGGGAUCGCAUGGUCUUGAUACCAAAGAUUUUAUCGCCGAAAGAUGGCCUCGCGUCUGAUUAGCUAGUUGGUGGGGUAACGGCCUACCAAGGCGACGAUCAGUAGCCGGACUGAGAGGUUGGCCGGCCACAUUGGGACUGAGAUACGGCCCAGACUCCUACGGAAGGCAGCAG
rnacentral:rRNA from 1 species